rnacentral:snRNA from 1 species
GUACUUGAUUCAGCUGCGCAUGCUUGAAUUGGAACAAUACAGAGAAGAUUAGAAUGGCUUAAGGAUGACAUGCAAAUUUGUAAACCAUUUCAUAUAUAC